rnacentral:tRNA from 1 species
GUCCAGCAUAGACAUGGGUGGCAGCGAUGGUCGGAAAAAGAAAAAGGAAGGCAGCUCGAGUCAACGAUCGUGUGC